UCAUCGAAAGGGCAUACCCGACCGAAAGGCGGGGACGCAAAACCACCGGUCUACGGCUUCGGCCAUGACAGCGGAGUUACCGAA
rnacentral:ncRNA from 1 species